rnacentral:rRNA from 1 species
AAGGCACGGGCCUGGCGUAAGUUCCCUGGAAAGGGACGCCAGAGAGGGUGACAGCCCCGUAGUCAGUCAGGCCGCGGCCGUACGGAUGCCUUCGAAGAGUCGGGUUGUUUGGGAUUGCAGCCCUAAAAGGGAGAUAAACUUCUUCUAAAGCUAAAUAUUUAUGGGAGACCGAUAGCGAACAAGUACUACGAAGGAAAGCAUGAAAAGAACUUUGAAAAGAGGGUUAAAAGACUUGAAACUGUUGAGAAGGAAGCGUUAGAAGAGCAAUUAUUCGACCGUGAUGUUGCCGAGUGAGCACGGGUCCCUGCGUCGUGGAGUACUUCAUCAGGCUUGCGGCGCACGGGGCAACUGGGCUUUGCGGCUUUUUCGCGGCCGAGAGGCAGAGUGAGGUCAACCGCUGCGGGAGUCAUUCAGGUGGACGCCCCUACCCUCGUGGUGGGAGCCGCCGGAAAAAACUGCAGACUGGCCUGAGGGUCCUUCGGGAGACUCUGUCAAAAUGGCUUCUAACUUCUCGUCUUGAAACACGGACCAAGGAGUCUAUCUAAUAUGCGAGUGUUAGGGUGGAGAAACCCGAACGCGUAACGAAAGUGAGUACAAGAUGCGAGGCGCAAGCUGCAGCAUCGGCCGGCCAUGACCCUCCGGGGAACGGUCCGCGCAAGAGCAUAUUCGGUAGGACCCGAAAGAUGGUGAACUACGCUUGAGUAGGGUGAAGCCAGGGGAAACUCUGGUGGAAGCUCGUAGCGAUACUGACGUGCAAAUCGUUCGUCAAACUUGAGUGUAGGGGCGAAAGACUAAUCGAACCAUCUAGUAGCUGGUUCCCUCUGAAGUUUCUCUCAGGAUAGCAGGAACAGAGACGCAGUUUUAUUAGGUAAAGCGAAUGAUUAGAGGACUCGGGGCACAAAGUGCCUUGACCUAUUCUCAAACUUUAAAUUGGUAAGAACCGGCAGUUUGCUUAAUUGAACUGUCGGGUUGAAUGCGGUGUUCCUAGUGGGCCAUUUUUGGUAAGCAGAACUGGCGAUGAGGGAUGAACCUAACGCUGAGAUAAGGUGCCCAAAUACGCGUUCAUGAGACCCCAUAAAAGGUGUUGGCUCAUUUAGACAGCAGGACGGUGGCCCUGGAAGUCGGAAUCCGCUAAGGAGUGUGUAACAACUCACCUGCCGAAUGAGCUAGCCCUGAAAAUGGAUGGCGCUGCAGCGCGUUACCGAUACUCAGCCAUUAGAGCAAAUGUGAGGCUCUAAUGAGUAAGAGGGCGUGAGCACUGUCUGGAAGCCUUUGGCGUGAGCCUGGGUGAAACAGUGUUUAGUGCAGAUCUUGGUGGUAGUAGCAAAUAUUCAAAUGAGAACUUUGAAGACCGAAGUGGAGAAGGGUUCCAUGAGAACAGCAAUUGGUCAUGGGUUACUCGAUCCUAAGACAUAGGGAAUUUCCUUGCAAAACAAAGGCGCUCGCGCCUGUUGUCAAAAGGGAAUGAGGUUAAUAUUCCUCAAGCUGGAGGUGGAUAACGUGUGGUAACACAAGUGAACCCGGAGACGUCAGCAUGACCCCCUGGAAGAGUUAUCUUUUCUUUUUAACAGAUCAUGGCCCUGAAAUUGGAUUAUCCAGAGCUAGGGCUGUAUGUCUGGCAGAGCAGCUCACCCUAAGAGCUGUCAGGUGCGUUCAUGAUGACCCUUGAAAAUCCGGGCGAGAGAUCUAUAUCACGCCAGAUCGUACCCAUAACCGCAUCAGGUCUCCAAGGUU